rnacentral:rRNA from 1 species
GAUGAACGCUGGCGGCGUGCCUAAUACAUGCAAGUCGAACGAAACUUCUUUAUCACCUAGUGCUUGCACUCACCGAUAAAGAGUUGAGUGGCGAACGGGUGCGUAACACGUGGGCAACCUGCCCAAAAGAGGGGGAUAACACUUGGAAACAGGUGCUAAUACCGCAUAACCAUAGUUACCGCAUGGUAACUAUGUAAAAGGUGGCUAUACUACCGCUUUUGGAUGGGCCCGCGGCGCAUUAGCUAGUUGGUAGGGUAAAGGCUUACCAAGGCAAUGAUGCGUAGCCGAACUGAGAGGUUGAUCGGCCACAUUGGGACUGAGACACGGCCCAAACUCCUACGGGAGGCAGCAGUGGGGAAUCUUCCACAAUGGGCGAAAGCCUGAUGGAGCAACGCCGCGUGGGUGAAGAAGGUCUUCGGAUCGUAAAACCCUUUUGUUAGGGAAGAAAGUGCUUGAGAGUAACUGUUCACGUUUCGACGGUAUCUAACCAAAAAGCAACGGCUAACUACGUG